ensembl:lncRNA
AAGCAGAUACAGGGGGUAUCAUUAAUAUUUACAAUGGAGAGCGUUUGCCUCUUCCAGAGGCUAUAAAUAAAGGCUUAGUUGACAAAGACAUGGCUAAAUGUAUUGCCACAAAUCAACUCUUGAAAGGGGGGUUGCUCAAUCCAGCCAGUGGACAGAAGGUCUCCAGCAUUACUGAGGCGAUUGAAUAUGGGCUUGUUUCUACUGAAAUGGCUGCAGAACUUCAACACAGCAUGGGCCUUGUAGAUGAACAUGAGAAGAAAAGUUCUAAAAUAUCAGCCUCCUCAAUGAAAGCAACUUCUAGUUCUUUUGUUCCUGAGAUGAUAUCGGAGCAUGUCAGUCCUAAUAAAAUGUCACUUGAGAAAGGUCUAUUGAGUAUACCAUCACCACCAUCAUCGUAUCUUACAGAGGCUGAAAUAAAAGAUGCAGAUCUUCGGAAAAAAGAGGAGCUUGAAUCUUUUGACAUCCGUCCUGACUUAGAAAGUAAGGAAGAAUUUGUUGAUGCCGUGAUUCAGGAUAGCAAUGAUACAUCAUUGAAGGUUCUGACAGAAUUUACCUUGAAAGCAGAAAAAAGACUUCAGGAGGCCAUUGAAGAGAUAAAGCCCACAGAAAGCGAACAUAUCAAAUCACAGCCAAUCCAAAUCCCUGAGCAACCUGAAGAGAUGUCUGAUUUCAAAUGGCAAAAGUUGGAAGUUGAGAACUCAACAGCUUUACUUGACCACACCACAGAGAUGGAAAUCAAGAGACAGACAGUCAAUGUAUCUGCAGUUACUACUGCCAUUUUAUCAGAAAGCAGUGAUAACAGCAAAGAACAAGUCCCAUCUACCGAGCAAACAACAGGAGAGACAGAGAUCCAAAGGCAGACAGUAAGUGAACCUGCAAUCUCUGAAGUCAGUUUCUCAGAUACCGAUGAUGGCUUACAAAACAAGGAACAAACCCCAUCUAUAGAGCAAAUAGAGGGGCAUAGUUUCAAGUUAGAAAAAGAUCAGUCCAAACCAGAGAAAAUCAAGGACAGCCAAGAGACUGGAUUGGAUCCUUAUGCUUCUACAACCACAAGGCCAGUUAAAGUAUCAGGAAAGAAGAAAGGCAGAGGAAAAAAUGGCAAGCAAGCUAAAAUGGAAAGUGAUGUAAAGCUACAAGUUUCAGAAACCUCCGCCAGAAUUUCACCUAUAGAAAAAGCAGAGGUUGAUGGACAAGAUGGCUUUACCACUAAUCAAAAGCGUAUUAUGAAAGAUGACAAAGAAAAGUUGGUUGCAGUACAGCAGUCAGAGACAACCCAUGGAAGUGGUAGCACUGCACCUUUGACAGGGAGUGAUGAGACUGUACAAGGCAGAGAUUUGGAAAUAGGGGAUGAUAGAACUGAAAAUGAAACUAAGACCCCCAAAUGUGAUACUGAUCAUGAAACCAAUGAAAAACAAAAAGAGAAGACACAGAAAAGUGUCACGACUUACAUGGCAAAAACAGACCAGAGUCAGGAAGCAGUUGUGGUCUCCAAGGACCUUGGCACCGAGGUAUCAGAAAAGAAGAGAAAGAAGAA